ACUUGGCAGCCUUGUAGAUCUUCCAGUACACGAAGAGCACCACACAGAGCGGCAGGUAGAAGGCGCCUACGGUGGAGAACACGGCGUAGGAAGGCUCGCGGCUUACCUGGCACUCCUCGCUGCCCUCAGAGUACGUCUCUCCCCAGCCAAAAAGCAGCGGGGCCAGAGAGAUGACAGCGGAGAGUGCCCAGGUGAGCGCGAUCAUGACGUUGGAGACGCACUUGCGGGUGCGGAGCGUGUAUUCCAUGUGGCGCGUGAUGGACCAGUAGCGGUCCAGGGCUAUGGCCGUCACGUUCCAGAUGCUGGCCGUGCAGCAAAGCACGUCGCACGCGAUCCAAAGCUGGCACAGCCUCCGACCUAGCUGCCAGCGGCGCCCGGACAGCUCGUGCACCAGGCUCAGCGGCAUGACCAGCGCGGCCACCAGGACAUCCGAGACGGCCAUGGAUGCCACCAGGUUGUGGGGCACGCGGUGGAAGGUGCGUACACGGAGGAUGGUCGCCAGCACCAGCAGGUUCCAGGCGAACGUCGCCGCCACCAGAAAGCCCAGCAAGAGUAAAACAAGUAUCAGGAGAAUGCACUGAGAAAAGAGAAAGUCCUCCACUGGAACCUAGAGGACGGGACAACAUCAUUAAAUACCGGAUUAUUCACAGGGCUGUUUCAAACACCACUUAAAAACAGCUGAUGGUGACUGCCUGCAUGCAGAGCAACUGUGCAUGGCCCCAAUCUGGAAGCAAGCUUGUGCUUCUUUAAGGCAAAUCACCUUCUUGAGGUCAUGGAACUAAUGGGAAUGAGAUGUAAACUAUGAAUCCUCUUCUUUGGAAAAAGUUCUGCAUCUAGUCUCAGGGCCUGUUAUCUGGAGGAAUGGAUGAACUGUGUUGCCCACAGGCGGGCCUCAAUGGAUCUCUAUGAAUCUUGAAAGGCAUUAUGGGCUUGUGAUUAUAUUCCCUACUGAUUCCCCAGGCCACAGCUGUCUGUAUUGAUAGCUAAGUGAGCAGCAGAAUAGUUAAUAAGGACAAAGCCAAGGAUGACUGAGGAUAAUUUGUGAAAAAUAGAGUGUCAUAAAUUUAGGGACUGAAUAGAAUAUUCCCACAAAGGAGAGAUCCAAUGGAGCAUUUCCAGAAGGGACAAACCCUGUUCAGAAAGUCUGGCUUAUCUCUUAAAAAUACACAAAUAAAAAA
ensembl:lncRNA HTR5A-AS1 HTR5A antisense RNA 1